rnacentral:rRNA from 1 species
GGGGAUAACGUUUGGAAACGAACGCUAAUACCGCAUGAUAUUAUUGAGCUGCAUGGCUUGAUAAUCAAAGGAGCAAUCCGCUGAAAGAUGGGCUCGCGUCCGAUUAGGUAGUUGGCGGGGCAACGGCCCACCAAGCCGACGAUCGGUAGCCGGACUGAGAGGUUGAACGGCCACAUUGGGACUGAGACACGGCCCAGACUCCUACGGGAGGCAGCAGUGAGGGAUAUUGGUCAAUGGGGGAAACCCUGAACCAGCAACGCCGCGUGAGGGAAGACGGUUUUCGGAUUGUAAACCUCUGUCCUCUGUGAAGAUGAUGACGGUAGCAGAGGAGGAAGCUCCGGCUAACUACGUGCCAGCAGCCGCGGUAAUACGUAGGAAGCAAGCGUUGUCCGGAUUUACUGGGUGUAAAGGGUGCGUAGGCGGCUUUGCAAGUCAGAAGUGAAAUCCAUGGGCUUAACCCAUGAACUGCUUUUGAAACUGCAGAGCUUGAGUGGAGUAGAGGUAGGCGGAAUUCCCGGUGUAGCGGUGAAAUGCGUAGAGAUCGGGAGGAACACCAGUGGCGAAGGCGGCCUGCUGGGCUCUAACUGACGCUGAGGCACGAAAGCGUGGGUAGCAAACAGGAUUAGAUACCCUGGUAGUCCACGCUGUAAACGAUGAUUACUAGGUGUGGGUGGACUGACCCCAUCCGUGCCGGAG